rnacentral:tRNA from 1 species
UUAAAAAGAAAUAUAAUUAAUUUUAAACUUCUAAUUUAAAAAAUAGUGAAUUAAUCAUUAAUAUUUCUUUAACUAAAAUUA